rnacentral:rRNA from 1 species
CUCUGAAGAGAGAGUCAAAGACCGUGAAACCGCUCAGAGUAUAAGCCAAUGGAGCUUGGAAGGCUUCCACAGACAAAGGCAUCCCUUGCGGUGUUUAGAAGACCUUGAGUCUCGCUCGUCAGGCGACAGAUUUGAGUAUGCCGACCAGCUGUCGUGCGGGGGUUCGGUUUGGAGGUCUCAGGCUUCGGCCGAAGCGUUCCGGCUGUCCCCUUUUGAAUGGACGUUCAGAGCUCUUGUGUCUAAUGUGGUUAUAUGCCCACCACAGCACGUUGUGAGGUCACCCACAGGCUCAAACUGCCGAUCGCGCAUCCAGGACGAUGGCAACGAUGCGUUGUGUAAGAAUGAAGCGGGUCUUCACCCACACGCGUGUCUAGUCCUGGGUCGGGCGGCGACCGAGAUAAACCUGGUAUGAUCCUCUUGCGACGAGCUGCUUUCUGGCCAGACCGACGCCCAGACGCUUCCACUGUGCCGGAAGCGUCAAUCCCAGGCGGUGUGAACCCAGCUGCAUUAUGCAAGGUCUCUCAGCCGGGCGUUGGUCUGAGUGGUGUCAAGUCCAGCACCAUCGGUCACGUCUCGAAACACGGGCCAAGGAGUAUAGCAUGUGUGCAAGUCUAAGGGUCUCACAAAACCCGAUGGCGUAGUGAAAGCAAGACUGUGGCGGGGGAGCUACGGCAAACCCGCCGGCCCAGGUGGCGCUUGCGUCACCUGGCUUUACAGAGCUGAUCCUGACUUCCUUAAUGCAGGCGCAAGCUCCGGGCUCACGUACAACACUGGUCAUGCCUCGUGUGUGGCUGUGUUGUGAGCACCGUUGAGCAUACAUGC